UACAUGGGGUGCAAACGUUGCUCGGAAUCAUUGGGCGUAAAGCGCGCGUAGGCGGUUACUUAAGUCGAAUGUGAAAGCCCUCGGCUUAACCGAGGAAGUGCAUCCGAAACUGAGUAGCUAGAGUACGAAAGAGGGUCGCGGAGUUCCCGGUGUAGAGGUGAAAUUCGUAGAUAUCGGGAGGAACACCGGUGGCGAAGGCGGCGACCUGGGUCGAGACUGACGCUGAGGCGCGAAAGCGCGGGGAGCAAACAGG
rnacentral:rRNA from 1 species